ensembl:lncRNA
ACUGCUCAAGGUCUCCCACUUUGGGUCCCUCAACUUCCCUGUGUCUGGUGAUCCAAUCCCUCGAGAUUUUGCUUAGGCAUGGUGGCUGGAUUCCUGAGAGAGAACCAGGUGGAAGCCAUAUUGCCUCUGUGACUGAACCUCCGAAGUCACUCAGCAUCAUUUCCAUCACAGUUACAAAUGUCCACCCAAGUUCAAGGAGAAGAAACACCGUCCCUCCCAGUUAUGGAUUACAGUAUGCAACCAUGAUGCUUUCUUUCAUGUGUCAGUUGGACUGGUCCACUUUCUUUCUGAGUGUGUCUGUGAGGAUGUUUCCAGAUGAGAUUCAUGUUUGAAUCAAUGGACUCAGAAAAGUAGAUUGCUCUCCUCCGUUUGGGUAGGAUCAUGCAAGCUGCAAUCUACUGGAGGCCUGAAUAGAACAAAAAGAGGAGGAAGGGAGGAUCCAUCCUCUUCCAUCCUGCCUGUUGAGCUGGGACAUCAGUCUCUUCUUGCCCUUGGACUAGAACUCACACCUUCGGCUCCCCUGGUUCCCAGGCCUUCAGACUCAGACUGAAUUUUACCACUGACCUUCCUUGGUCUCCAGCUUGCAGAUGGAAGAUCAUGGGACUUCUCAGCCUCCAAAAUCAUGUGAGCCAGUUUCUCAUAAUACAUCCAUCUAUAUGGAGAAAUUUAUAUAGAGAUUGUAUACAUGUGCAUAAAACUACAUAUACAUGUUGGUUCUGUUUCUCUAAUACAUAUACCCCAACAAAAUUCAUGUGUGAAAGUCUUAAUCCCCAUGCCUCAGCCUGUGACCUUAUUUGGAAAUGGGGUCUUUACAGAGCUAAUCAAGUUAAAAUGAAGUCAUUAAGGUGGGCCCUUUUUCAAACGAGUGGUGUCAUUAUAAAAUGGGGAAAUUUGAAGACAGUUAACUCACACCAGGAGAACACCACAUGAAGAUAAAGAAAUCAGAGCGAUGUUGCUACAUGCCAAGACAUGCCAAAGAGUGCCAGACAACCCGUCAGAGCUGGCAAAGAGGCAGGGAGGAGAUUCUCCUUCACAGACCUCAGAUGGCAACAAGACUGCCAAUCCCUGGAUCUCAGACAUCCAGCCUCCACAACUGAGAGACCAUAGGGUCUGUGGUUCAAGUCACCUGGUUUGUGGUACUGUCAGCCCAUAUCCUCGGAUGCAGAAUGCACAGAUGUGGAGGGCCAAGUCUGGGACUUGAGAAUAUCCUCAAAUUUUGGUGUCAUGGAGGCUCCUAGAAUCAAUCCCCUGCAGAUACCCAAGGGCAACUGUACUUUAUCAGAGCAGAGCUAGAAAACUAACCUCCACAUCAUUAUGGAGGAUCAUCAAUGUCAAAUUGUAGAAAGAGCAUGCAGAAGGGGUAGUUAGGGGUGUGCCCAUCUUUGGAAAUUGCAACCUGCCACAGCCCAACCCCUCACCAACAAAAAUUCACCUCCCUCCCACAUGCAAAAUGUACUGGUCCCCUCCUGCAAACCACCAAACCUCAUCCCAUUACAGCACCAGCUUAAAGUCCAGGAUCUGAUCAUCUAAAUCAGAUUCAGAAGGAACCAAGGCUUCUGGAGUAUAGUCAAGGAGCACAGCUCUUCUGGAUCUGAAGAGUCAUCAAUUAAAGAGACCAGUUAUCUACCCGCCCCCAGGGGCCACAUGCAGUGGGGGAACAGCUCAUGGACAUCUUCUCCUUUCAAAGUCAUCCCCAUUCUCCGAAGAGCCUGAAACCAUCAGCUCUAAAACACCAUCAAAGAUCUCCUUGCUUAAGGGACUUCCCUGGUGGGCCAGUGGUUAAGAAUCUCCCUCCCAAUGCAAGGGAUGUGGGUUCAGUCCCUGAUCGGGGAAACUGAGAUCUCACAUGCUGUAGAGCAACUAAGCUGGUGAGCCGCAACUAGAGAGCCCGUGUGCAGCAACAGAAGGCCUGGUGUGGUGCAUCAAAGAUACCAC